rnacentral:rRNA from 1 species
CAGCGCCACAAGUGGCAAUCACGUUUAUUGGGCCUAAAGCGUCCGUAGCCGGUUUAGCAAAUCUUUUGUGAAAUCGUCAGGCUUAACUUGGCGAAUUGCAGAAGACACUACUAAACUAGGGACUGGGAGGAGUCAGAAGUAUUCUGGGGGGACCGGUAAAAUGGUAUAAUCCCCAGAGGACUACCGAUGGCGAAGGCAUCUGACCAGAACAGAUCCGACGGUGAGGGACGAAAGCCAGGGGAGCAAACCGGAUUAGAGACCCGAGUAGUCC